AGGGAAUCUUCCGCAAUGGACGAAAGCCUGAUGCAGCAACGCCGCGUGAGUGAUGAAGGUCUUCGGAUUGUAAAGCUCUGUCUUUGGGGACGAUAAUGACGGUACCCAAGGAGGAAGCCACGGCUAACUACGUGCCAGCAGCCGCGGUAAUACGUAGGUGGCGAGCGUUGUCCGGAUUUACUGGGCGUAAAGGAUGCGUAGGCGGAUGUUUAAGUGAGAUGUGAAAAUCCCGGGCUUAACUUGGGAGCUGCAUUUCAAACUGGAUAUCUAGAGUGCAGGAGAGGAGAAUGGAAUUCCUAGUGUAGCGGUGAAAUGCGUAGAGAUUAGGAAGAACACCAGUGGCGAAGGCGAUUCUCUGGACUGUAACUGACGCUGAGGCAUGAAAGCGUGGGUAGCAAAC
rnacentral:rRNA from 1 species